AAAAACAUUGCUUUAUGAAUAAAAUAUAAAGUAAUUCCUGCCCAGUGACACAAGUUCAACGGCCGCGGUAUCCUAACCGUGCAAAGGUAGCAUAAUCACUUGCCUAUUAAUUAUAGGCUAGAAUGAACGGACCAACGAAAUAAAAACUGUCUCAGUAUGACCACCCAAAAAUUAUUCUCUAUAUGAAGAAAUAUAGAUUGAAUCGAAGGACAAGAAGACCCUAUAGAGCUUUAUUUUAAAUAUAGAUAAACUAUAGAUAAAUUCGGUUGGGGCGACCGGGGCACUACUAAACUCCCCCAAAAAUAUAGAUUUAUCAAUCUCCAUAAUGACCCUUAUAAGAUCAUAAAAUCAAGCUACCUUAGGGAUAACAGGCUAAUCCUAUUCAUGAGUCCUUAUCAACAAUAGGGAUUGGCACCUCGAUGUUGGCUUAGGAAUCAAUAUAGCGCAAAAGCUAUAUUAAGAUAGUUUGUUCAACUAAUAAUUCCCUACGUGAUCUG
rnacentral:rRNA from 1 species